rnacentral:lncRNA from 1 species
UCCUCUUACCUUUCCAUCUUGCUCUUUUGUGUCUACUUUUCGGAUUCCCUACUUUUACUACUAUGUGUUUCAGAAUAUGUGCUAAGUUUCAACUGCUUGUUGCAGACAGCAGUUGCAGUUGGGGUAGAACCAGGAAAUAAGUUGCCUUACAAUGAAUAUUAUGAGUAUUUUGGCCCAGAUUAUACUCUUCAUGUUGAACCUAACCCCAUGGAGAAUAAGAAUUCACCCAGGGAUCUGGAGAAGAUCAGGUAAUUUGACAAUUGUGCUAUUUCCUGUAGUUUGAGGGCUUUUCCACCAGCGUCUGUCGAAAAUACUGACCUUAGCUAAUUUUCUGGAUGUGUUAGUUAAACACCCCUUUCCUAUGUUUAUUUUGGUACUGAACAGAAUUAUGUUGAAGUUCUUUUAAAUUUGGGCAUGUGACAUUAAUUGAUAACAGAUAAUCGGUAAUACUGGUACAUAAAAUUGAUGCUUCAGUGGUGUACAUGAGGUAAAUUCUGUUAUUCUAUCCGUAACUAGAUUGUACUAGUAUCUGACAUUUCAUGUUCAUCCACCAGGGCAUUUUGGGUUUGUCCACCCAUGAACAGGACAUCAUGGGUUCGUCCACCCAUGAACAGGACAAUUUUGGGUUCGUCCACCCAUGAACAGGACAAUUUUGGGUUCGUCCACCCGUGAAUAAGACAUUUGGGGUUUGUCCAACCAAGAAUAGGGCAUUCUGGGUUUGUCCACCCAAGAGUAGAGGUGGAGCCAGGAUUUGAAGUUUAUGGUUUCUGAACUUGCCACCAAACUUAUAACUCCUUUUAGUUAUUGGGUUCGCAUUUAAAUAUUUAUACGUGUUUAAUGGAUUUCGUAAUUAAAGAUAGGGUAUACGCAAAAACUACCAGGUUCGUCUGAACUCGUAAGUGAUACUCUAGCUCUGCCUCUUCCCAAGAAAUUCGCAUUUAAAUAUUUGUACGUGUUUAAUAGAUUUCGUAAUUAAAGAUAGGGUAUACGCAAAAACUACCAGGUUCGUCUGAACUCAUAAGUGAUACUCUAUCUCUGCCUCUUCCCAAGAAUAGGCCACUUUGGGUUCGUCCACCCAAGAAUAGACAUAUCGGGUUAUUCCACCCAAGAAUAGGGAAAGAUUCUGCUUUUUGUUUUGUUAAUGAUGGUGAACUCUAUACUCUUUAUGCAAUUAUUUGACAUAAUAUGCUGACAAAUACAUAUUUUUUCAAUCCAUAAAUUCCUAAUUUUCUUCCUUAUGCAACUUGUGAACUCAGACAAUUAUGUCCCUCUUUUCCUUUUUUUUUUUGUUUUUAGAGUGAAUACACAACCUGUAGAUGUUACUUUUUCUUCCUUAGGCAACUUGUGAACUCAGACAAUUAUAUCCCUCUUUUCCUUUUUGUUUUUAGAGUGAAUACACAACCUGUAGAUGUUACUUGACAUGAAUGCUUGCUUGCUGCAGGAACAUAUUGCUUGAGCAACUCUCACAAUUACCUCAUGCACCUAGUGUGCCAUUUCAAACCACUCCUUGUACAACAGAAGUUCCAGAGGAGGUUAGUGGCCAGUACAAGGCCUUGAUCAUAUAAUUUCUACAUAUACUACGCAACCUUAUUCUAGGACUUCUGACUGCAGGAAGAGGAAGAUAUGGAUCAAAGACCGAAACCAAGUAUAUGGAAUGGAGAGGAUUAUGGGUCUGACGCUGAUGAAGAUGAGCAUCCUAGACAACGAAGUUCAGAUAGUAAUCUUACUCCAGUCGAAACAACAACUUACAUGAGGUAGGGCCUCAAGUUGCAUUCAUCACAUUUGUUAAGUCGUUGAAUAUUUGUGUUUUGCAAACUGAAGCACACUUGUUUAUCCUCUAGUGUCUUUACAUUUUUGGAAAGUUGUUACUUGAUAAGGCUCUGGUAUUUGGUUGAAUGUUUACUGGUUUGAGCUUUAACUUGUAAUGUGUGAACGAAUGUGGUGAGACUAGCCUUAAUCAACCUUUGGUUUGGAGAAGAUUCUGAUUAAGACUCCCUAAGAAAUUUUAUUUUCAAGUUUUAGUGCUUUUACGAAAUGAACAUUCCCUUCUAUAAAAAGCUGAAGUAUAUGGCAUGUGAUGCAGGGAUGUCGACAACCAAGCCAAAGUAGAUGAUGACAUGGUUGAUGCUGAUCACUAGUUCAAAAGCUAUCUUCUACAUCUUGGCAAGUGCAAUAACUGAUAAUUGCUUCUGGGUUGAAAUUAUAAGCCAUGAGCUUUGGACCUUCCCCUCUACUUAUCAAUUGUUCCUCAGUCUCCUGUUCUAAAAGAAGUAGAAAUAGGAGCUGUAUACAUGGGAAAGUUGCACUUGAAUGUGGCAAUGGAGUAUUCUAGCUGAGCUCAAGUUUUGUGUUUGCAGAUUAACUGUGUAGAUUGUAGUACGUUGGUUUUAGAUUACAGAUUUAUGAGUUACAUGCGAAAAGUGGGGAGCUGGAUGAUCUAUCCCUUGGAAACGGACAGUUGCAUCACAAAAGUAAACAAUGUCCUUUCUUCUUACCGAUAUCCAUGCUGAUAAGAUAUAAUUAUCUGUUGUCUUGGAGGGUUAUCCAUGUAGUACUGUGGAUUAUCCAUGUAAUUUUCAGAAAAAAGAAGGAAACUAGAUUAUGUUACAUAGAGGGUGGUGAUCAUUGAUCAGUCUCCUUUUUAUCAAUUGUUUGCUAGUAGUAUCACAGGCAGUGACUAUAUCUAAGAUUCUUGAACUCGGUAAAAAACUUGAAGCUUCACUAAUGCUUGUUUUUAGCCAUCGAGGCUCUUUGCAACUUCUUCCGUACGUCUUGAGCACAGAGGUUUUGUUCACGUGGGUAGUUUUCUUCUUUGAAAACUUGUAUUUAUCUGUCUUAAAUUAAAUUGUUUAGCAAUUCGCGGUUAGACCUAGAAGUAUUUUACUAAAAAGAUGUAAUUUUCUCCAUGAUGAAUAAAUUCCCUGUAUAUAUUAUCAAGAACAAAAUGCUAAAACUCCAAAAUAAGUUAUAUUUAAGGGACUUACAAUUUUAGCAAAGUGAAUCGUCUACUUAUAAAUCAAUUGCUACAAACAAGUUUUCGUCUUGUAACACUAUGAAUUCAGUAGCAGCACAAAACUUCAAAAUCUCCAUCCAAUUCCAACCCCCACUUCAAUGUUUCCUCCUUCCUUCUUCCCCGCCCAAAUUCCUCAAAAUCCACCAUAAACCUCAAAACCCUAUAACUCUAAAAUUCUGCCCAAUUCAAGCUGCUUCAAACCACAAAAACAUCACUUCCACAAAUCAACAACAAGAACAAGAUGAUGGCAUCCCCAUUGAACAUGUCAAAACCCUAGUCAAAUUCAAGUCUAGGCACAACUACAUCCGUGUUCUACAAGUUUCUAGAAGAGCUGACCAUCCAUUAGUUGGGUCUCGCCUUCUUCUUCUAGAUGCUCUUGGUAACAUCCACAGCAUAUCUUUCCUUUUCAAGUCCAUCACCAAUGCCUAUUAUGAUGUUUUUGCAACUCUUCCUCCAAUUUUACCACCUGGGCCUUUAGGAAUACUCGGGUUCGGAGCCGGUUCGGCUGCCAAAUUGAUUCUUGAAAUGUACCCACAAGGUGUCAUCCACGGAUAUGAGCUUGACCCAGCUGUGGUCUCUGUUGGAAGAGAAUAUUUUGGGCUUUCAAAAGUUGAAAAACAAUACCCAGGUAGACUUUUCAUUUAUAUUAACAAUGCACUUAAUGCUAGUGUGAAAGAUAGGUAUUCUGGGCUUUUAGUGGAUUUGUUCAGUAAAGGGCUCAUUUACAUUAGCAAUGCACUUAAUGCUAGUCUGAAAGAUGGGUAUUCUGGGCUUUUAGUGGAUUUGUUCAGUAAAGGGUGUGUAAUUCUUGAGCUACAGAAUCCAGACACGUGGCAGAAAUUGAAGGGGAAGUUGAAGAGAGGAGGGAGGAUAAUGGUGAAUGUUGGGGGGAGUUGUGUAGAGCCAGAGGAUAUUAGAAAAAAUGGGAAAGUGAUAAUGGACGAGACUUUAGAGGCAAUGAACAAGGUUUUUCCAGGAGAGGUUUUUGUGUUGAAUUUUGGAAAUAAAAAACAGGAGGAUACUACAGUUGCUCUUGCAGGUGGAUUGCCUGAUUUGGAGAAGCGGAGGACGUCUGUGCCUAAGCCUUUGAGGUUUUAUGUUGAUAUGUGGAAGAAGUAUGGUGGAUAAAAAAGGUUUGGUGCAUUGAGGAUUGCGAGUUUAUGCAAGGUUCAGGUAAAAACCGCAAAUCAAGAAGAUAUGAUUUAAAUAGCCUAUUCUAAUAUAAGGAUUAGUAGCUAACACUAUGACGAAGAACCGCAAAUCAAGAAUAUAUGAUAUAAAUAGCCUAUUCUAAUAUAAGGAUUAGUGGCUAACUCUAGGACUUAAACCUGUAACCUAUUAAUCACAUAAAGAUAAUUUUGUUCUCCCUCUCUAAAGAAGUAUGUUGGACGAUAAGUCUAAAUUCUUUUGCAAGGCAUAUUGUUUUUGUUUGAUUUACUAUUAGGAAAUUAAAAACGAGAAAAGCAAAAACCAUAAAAUCGAUUCUUUUGGUUUGGUUUAUAUAUUUAGCAAACCGACAUGGUUAGUUGGGUUUAGUUUUAGGUAAAGAUCGAGUUAAACUGAACCGUGAACAUCCUAAAAUGUAACAACCAUUUUGUAUUUAUUAAAAAAAGAAAGAAUUACAACUCAUGUAAAGAAGUGAUGAUGCCGUCAUUUAGUAGGUGCUUUGUACUUUCUCAUGUUUUUGUACAUUGGGUGAAAAGGAAUUUCUGUGUCUAAUGCAUUAUGUGCCCCUGCCCUUAUGUGUAAGUUUAUGGUAAACCAUUUUGAGGAUGAAGCAACAUAAGGAUAUGCAUGAUUGCCCAUGGUUUAUAUCCUUGUGGAUUGGUUGAUUCAGGUUGGUGUAACUUCAAAGAAGUGUUAUGUGCAGGGAAUAAAUCAUACUUACCAUCUUUAUGAAUUAUUGAAGGUAUGGAAGCUUAAAUUACUUAUCUGAGGAAAUGGAAAAAGUCCCUAGUUUAAAGUUCAGCAAAGCAGAUAACUUGAAUUUAUUCUGUCAAAUCUAUGCUGGAGAAUAUAAAAAAAACCUGCCUAUUAUCAUUGUAUUAGCUAAGAUAGAUCUGUUCCAUCUUUACGGAAACAUCUCACGUAUCAUAAAGACAAGUUAAAAGAAAUAUCAACACAUUACAAUUUCAAGUUGCAAUUUAGUUAUAUAGAUACUCUUAAAAGUUGGGAGGACGCAGGAUACAUGCAAAGGACAGGGACUAGAACCUGCUUGUGUUCGGUGGACAAUUUGGAAAGAGAGAAACUCCAGAUGUUUUGAGAAUGUGGAGAAUGAAGUGCAGAAGAUUAAGUUAAACUUUAUUUUGCUGUUAAGCUUUUAAUCAGAUGUACACAAAUGAUAAUAAUACCAUUAUUGAUGUUUUAGACUCAAUAUAGAGAGUGUUAGUGAUAGAUAGAGUCUCUUGUAUAUAUGGUUUUAGUACUUCCUAAGUACUGUUUUUGCUACAUAUGAAAUAUAGAAAAGUUACCAGUUUCAAAAAAAAAAAGAAGUUGCAAUUUAGUUCCACCUCUACGUACAUAUAUUUGUUAAAACUCCACACAAGUGAUUAAUCACAUUGAGUCUCAAUAGAACUUACUAAGUACUAAUCUGUAAGAUUUCUAGGGAAUGGAACUUAGUUGAUUGCUUGUCAUUUCUCUGCUUAUCAAAUAUAAGGUGCAGGGCAUGGACUGUUGCUCCACUAGCAAUCAUGUGGGUUAUUUGGAGAGAAAGAAACAUAAGAGCUUUUGAAGGGAUAGAGAUGAAUUUUAUUCAGUUAAGAAGUAGCCUCUUUUCCCUUGUUUUCUUUUGGUGCAGCCAUGAAGCUCCUUGCUGUAUAGAAGAUUGGGUGUCUAUCGUAGAGAACCAUUGCCUUUUGUAGGUUCUAUACUUUUUGGUAUACCUCUUGUAUAUGGGUGCUUUUAUUUUGGCGCAUUCAUUUAUGAAAAGUUGCUAACUUGAUCAAAAAUUAACUAUGGGAUCUGGAUAAUUGUAGUAUGUUUGUCUUUACAUACAAUAGUAUCAAUGGCUUCACAACUUCUUUUGCUUGGAUGCACUCUUUUGCAUGGAAUAGAGAUUCUUCUGAGUUACUGUUCCUCUGAAAUGUUGAGUGUUUUCUGCAGCGUGUAUUGUAUAUAGACAUUGAUAUUCACCAUGGUGAUGGUGUUGAGGAGGCUUUUUUCACAACGGAUAGAGUCAUGACAGUGUCUUUCCAUAAGUUUGGGGACUUCUUUCCUGGUACAGGGCAUAUCAAAGAUAUUGGUGCAGGUCAAGGGAAAUACUAUGCGCUAAAUGUUCCAUUGAAUGAUGGGAUGGACGACGAUAGUUUUGGUCGUCUAUUUCGUCCCGUAAUUCAAAAAGUCAUGGAGGUCUAUCAACCUGAUGCUGUCGUUCUUCAAUGUGGGGCUGAUUCACUGGCUGGAGUCAGGUUGGGUUGCUUCAAUUUGUCAGUCAAGGGCCAUGCAGACUGUCUUAGAUUCCUCAGAUCUUUCAAUGUCCCUCUAAUGGUAUUGGGUGGUGGAGGUUAUACCAUAAGAAAUGUUGCGAGGUGCUGGUGCUAUGAGGUCCUCUUACCUUUCCAUCUUGCUCUUUUGUGUCUACUUUUCGGAUUCCCUACUUUUACUACUAUGUGUUUCAGAAUAUGUGCUAAGUUUCAACUGCUUGUUGCAGACAGCAGUUGCAGUUGGGGUAGAACCAGGAAAUAAGUUGCCUUACAAUGAAUAUUAUGAGUAUUUUGGCCCAGAUUAUACUCUUCAUGUUGAACCUAACCCCAUGGAGAAUAAGAAUUCACCCAGGGAUCUGGAGAAGAUCAGGUAAUUUGACAAUUGUGCUAUUUCCUGUAGUUUGAGGGCUUUUCCACCAGCGUCUGUCGAAAAUACUGACCUUAGCUAAUUUUCUGGAUGUGUUAGUUAAACACCCCUUUCCUAUGUUUAUUUUGGUACUGAAC